CCGGCCCAACCGCAAGGGGGGAGGCGUCGAAGGUGUGGAGGGUGAGGGGGGUGAAGUCGUAACAAGGUAGCCGUACGGGAACGUGCGGCUGGAUCACCUCCUUUCUAGGGAGA
rnacentral:rRNA from 1 species